rnacentral:rRNA from 1 species
AUGGGCUGGGUGCAGGACCCUCAUAUUCAAGAGUUGCUUCUCAAGCAAACGGAUAACGCAAGAGCUGCCGCCCGAGAAAAAGCCAAGAUGGAUCAACUUGAGUUAGACGCGGUUACUCCAUUGUAUGAAGGAUGCAGGCCCGAGGAUACCCGCCUGAAAGUAACGCUCAUGGCUCUAGAGAUGAAGGUAAAACACAAAAUGACCGAUGCAUGCUUCGACGAGAACAUGUCAUUCUGGCACGAACAUCUUCCCAAGGGGAACAAGUGCCCGACCAGUUUGGAGGAGGCGAAGAAAAUCGUGUGUCCUCUGGAUUUACCGCACGUGAAAUACCAUGUGUGCAUGAACAAUUGCAUCAUUUAUCGGGACGAGCACGCGGAGUCUACCAUAUGUCCGGUGUGCGAUGUCACUCGAUACAAGAAGAGGAAGAAAGCUCGUCGAAAAGUGGUGUGGUACUUUCCGAUCACUCCUCGUCUGCAGCGGUAUUUCGCGGACCCUAAGGUAGCAAAGCUCCUGCGUUGGCACGCGGAUAGGGAGGAGAAGAAGCGAGAAGAUGACGCAAAUGAUCCGGAGAUAGAUAAAAAAGACAAGAUGCCGAGUCACCCUAAGGAUGCGAGCCAGUGGCAAGCGUUGAACUUCGAAUACCCAGAAUUUGGGAACGAUCCAAGGAACAUCGUGCUGGGCGCGAGCACCGAUGAAGUCAAUCCGUUUGGCAGCCAGAGAAGCACACAUAGCACCUGGCCUGUGUUUGUGUGGAUGUACAACCUUCCCCCCUGGUUGCGCAUGAAGAGGAAGUACAUUCACAUGAGUAUGCUAAUUGAAGGGCCGAAACAACCAGGGAACGACAUCAAUCUGUAUCUGGGGCUGCUGAAAGAGGAGCUUGGCACGCUGUGGAAAACGCCAGCCAAUACGUGGGACGCCGCAGAGAAAGAAUAUUUCCCUAUGAGAGCCGCACUGCUCACGACGGUGCACGACUAUCUCGGUUACGGAUAUCUUGCGGGGCAGGUAGUCCACGGAUUUUCUGGAUGCGUAAGGUGCAUGGAUGACACAACGUAUCGCCAGCUAGAUAGAGAUCCCGGGUCUUCGAAAACCGUGUUCAUGGGACAUCGAAGGUGGCUUCGCGACGAUGACCCGUGGAGGAAACGCAAGGAUCUGUUCGAUGGUGAAACCGAACCCCGAAAACGCCCAUGUACGAGGACCGGCGAGGAAAUAGACAAGCUGUUGAAAAAUUGGAAAGACUGCCCACUGCCGGGAAAGAAGCAAAAGGCGCCAGAGCCGGGAAAGAAGCGAAAGGCGCCAGAGCCGCUGCUGAAGGUAUGGAAAACGAGGUCUGUUUUCUGGGACUUGUCGUACUGGAAGAUCCACCGUGUGCCUCACAGCCUUGAUGUCAUGCAUAUCACGAAGAACGUGUGCGAGAGUCUGCUUGGUACCCUGCUCAACAUGCCAGAGAAGAGCAAAGAUGGGCCGAAAGCAAGGGCAGACUUGAAAUCAAUGGGCAUCAGGCAGGAGCUUCACGCUAUAUAUGAUGAUGAUGAUGAUGAUGAUGAUGAUGAUGAUGAUGAUGAUGAUGAUGAUGAGGCGAAGCAGGACACAGAAAGUCGUCGCAAAGGCAAAAAGGCCAAGAAGACCGGAAAUGACUACCCUCCCGCGUGCUUCACUGUAAGUCAGGAGGAGAUCGAUCAGUUUUUCACCUGCCUCCUAGGAGUAAAACUUCCUUACGGUUACGCGGGGAAGAUAAGCAGAUACCUAGACCCAGCGAAGCAGAAGUUCAGCGGGAUGAAGUCUCACGACUGUCACGUGCUGAUGACGCAGAUACUUCCAGUUGCAAUCCGUGGGAUCAUGGAUGUGCACGUCCGUGAAACGCUAUUUGGCCUAUGCAACUUCUUCGACGUCAUCUCUCGGAAGUCGAUUGGCGUGAGGCAACUCAGAAGGCUACAGGAAGAGAUCGUGGUGAUACUAUGCGAGCUUGAGAUGUACUUCCCGCCCGCAUUCUUCGACGUUAUGGUGCAUCUGCUGGUCCAUAUAGUGGAGGAUAUCAUCCAACUCGGGCCGACGUUCCUGCACAGCAUGAUGCCGUUCGAAAGGAUGAAUGGUGUCAUCAAAGGAUACGUUCGCAACAUGUCACGUCCAGAAGAAAACAUAGCCAGGGGCUUUCUGACCGAAGAGUGCAUCUCCUACUGCACGAAUUAUCUAGGCAUCGAGAACCCCGUUGGUCUGCCCGUCAACAGGCACCUCGGCAGGCUCGCUGGAUGGGGUCACCGUGAGGGUCGCCGCGAAAUGCAUGUCGACUUCGAGGGUCGACUCGCCGACUUUGAAAGAGCAAACCUAGUCGCGCUACAACACAUAGACGUGGUCGAUCCUUGGGUGGUAGAGCACAAAACCUUUAUUAAGAAGACGUACAAUGACCGAGGCCAACAGAGGACGGACGGAGAUAUACUCAAAGAGCACAACUCAUGUUUCACGCGUUGGUUCAAGCAGAAGCUUCUGUCGUACCCUUUACAUGAGGAUUCUUCCGCGGAAGAACAACUCAUAUUCGCCUUGUCACAGGGUGCCGAGCACAACCUGAUGACCUAUGAGGCGUACGAUAUCAACGGCUACACAUUCUACACCGAGGCCAAGGACAUGAAGAGCGAUGGUUAUCAGAACUCCGGGGUAACGAUGGAAUCCUACACUGGUAACGACAAGGACAGAUACUACGGAAGGAUCGAGGAGAUCUGGGAGCUGAGCUACGCUGGAGAGAAGGUCCCGAUGUUCCGUGUCAGAUGGGCCAAGAACGUCAUAAAAGAAGACCGGUAUUUCACCAUCAUGGUUAUACCCGAAGCCAAAUCCAAGACCGCGGGCGCAAACGUCACCGCGAAAAAUGAGCCAUGGGUACUGGCUUCCCAAGUGGACCAAUGCUUCUUCAUUACCGACCCGCCAAAGCCCAGUCGUGUUGUCGUGAGGAGAGGCAAAAGGAAGAUCAUCGGAAUGGAUGGAGUAGCCAAUGAGCAAGACUUCGACAAGUACGGCUACCUGAGGAUCGAACAUGACGACGAUGAUGAAGUAGCAGCAUACACCACAAGAAGCAGGACCACCCUACCUAAAGGACGUCCGUUCCAUAGAAGAACUCCAUUUGCGAAAAAGAAGGGCAAGAAGAUUGUGAACAGAUAG